GCCACUUCAGCCGAACACUGGCUCUGAAAACAGCCUCAGUAUCUGACAAGCUCUCAUUCCUGGGCUUGUGGCGUGGCUGUCCAUUGAGAGAGCCUAAGUAUAUCUUCAUGCCGAGGGGAUGGGAGCAUUUAUAUAAAUAAAUGUUUGCACUGAUUACAGCACUGCUGCCAAAGAGCUUGAUGGGCGAUGAUGAUCCGAUUUCGCCAUGGCAGCUUAUGUUUACAGAACCCGGCUCCAUUGCAGACAGGACAUCGAAUGUGUAACGCAGUAUUUAAAUGUCCACUGACAUUUACAGCUCGUGUCAGCCCAAGAGGGAAGAGGCGUUGGUGUCCCAGUCUGCCAAGGAGGGCUCCUGCUAUGGAAUGAAUGGUGUCACCCCGAAUCUCAUGUGUGGAAACCCUAAUGCCAAAGGGGAUGGUAUUUGGAGACGGAGCCUUUGGGAGAUGAUGAUGUUUACAUCAGGUCGUGAAGGUGGGAUCCUUAUGUUGGGAUUCGUGCCCUUGUAAGAAGAGACACCAGGGCACACAUGCUCCCUCGUGCUCCACCCCCCUCUCUCUCUGCCCUGCGAGACCAUCUGUAAACCAAGAAGAGGAACCUCUCAAGUACCCAACCAUGGUGCCACCUGGAUGUAAACAUUUCUGCCUCCAGUACUAUAGAGAAAUAAAUUUCUGUUAUUUAUGCCACCCCAUCUAUGGUCCAGUUAACCCUUAAACAACACAGGUUUGAAUUGCACGGGUCCACUUCUACGGGCAUUUUCUUCUACCUCUGCCACCCCGGAGCCAGCAAGACCAAUCCCUCCUGUCCGCUCUCAUCUUAGGCUACUCAAGGUGAAGACGAUAAGGAUGAAGACCUUCAUGACGAUCCACUCCCACUUCAGAAAUACUCUCCAGCUCCAGCAGCACUGAGGCAGAUCUGAGUUUCUCGAAGCUGGGCCCAUCACCAACAAGACAGUGAUGGUGAAAGCAAUGAUAGAAGAGGUCGAAUUUAGAGUAAGGAUCAGGAUGGACAGGAGAGAGCUGAACUUCAAGGAUGCGAAUUUAUUUCCACACAGGGGAGAAACACUGAUUGGAGAAAAUUUACAGUUGCUGUUUAGACACUUGAGCCUCAGGAUCGAGAAAAGGUGCACCUCUUAGAUGGGCCUUAAAUUGGAGAUGAUGAUAUCUAACCACCUGGAGA